CGCGGCCUAUCAGCUUGUUGGUGGGGUAACGGCCCACCAAGGCUACGACGGGUAGCUGGUCUGAGAGGACGACCAGUCACACUGGGACUGAGACACGGCCCAGACUCUUACGGGAGGCAGCAGUGGGGAAUCUUGCGCAAUGGGCGAAAGCCUGACGCAGCAACGCCGCGUGCGGGACGAAGGCCUUCGGGUUGUAAACCGCUUUCAGCAGGGACGAACAUGACGGUACCUGCAGAAGAAGCCCCGGCCAACUACGUGCCAGCAGCCGCGGUAAUACGUAGGGGGCGAGCGUUGUCCGGAUUUAUUGGGCGUAAAGAGCUCGUAGGCGGUUUGGCAAGUCGGGUGUGAAAACUCCGGGCUCAACUCGGAGAGGCCAUUCGAUACUGCCAUGACUCGAGUCCGGUAGGGGAGUGCGGAAUUCCUGGUGUAGCGGUGAAAUGCGCAGAUAUCAGGAGGAACACCGGUGGCGAAGGCGGCACUCUGGGCCGGUACUGACGCUGAGGAGCGAAAGCGUGGGGAGCGAACAGGAUUAGAUACCCUGGUAGUCCACGCCGUAAACGUUGGGCACUAGGUGUGGGGCUCGAUCGACGGGCUCCGUGCCGUAGCUAACGCAUUAAGUGCCCCGCCUGGGGAGUACGG
rnacentral:rRNA from 1 species